UAUCUCUGUAGAGUCUGCAUAUCAAUAAGCGGAGGAAAAGAAACUAACUAGGAUUCCCUUAGUAACGGCGAGUGAAGCGGGAAGAGCUCAAAUUUGAAAUCUUCAAGGUUCUACCUUGACGAAUUGUAGUUUAAAGAAGUGUUUUCUGUUGGAGUUUUGGUAAAAGUUCUUUGGAAUAGGACAUCAUAGAGGGUGAGAAUCCCGUAUUUGACCAUUUCUUCCAGCUGUGUGAUACACUUUCAAAGAGUCGGAUUGUUUGGGAAUGCAGUCCAAAAUGGGUGGUAAAUUUCAUCUAAAGCUAAAUAUUGGCGAGAGACCGAUAGCGAACAAGUACCGUGAGGGAAAGAUGAAAAGAACUUUGAAAAGAGAGUUAAACAGUACGUGAAAUUGUCAAAAGGGAAGCGUUUGACACCAGUGUUGUUUUCUCGAAAAUCAAUUAAAAAGAUGCCGAUUUUGUGUUGUAUUGACUUUAUCAGCUUUCUGCACUUUUUUCUUGUCUUUUUUAAUGCACUUUUCGUUUAACAAGUCAACAUCAAUUUCUUUUGUUGUAAAAGAGUCAUUGGAAGGUGGCUUUCACUUCGGUGAAAGUGUUUAUAGCCUUUGACUUCUGCAAUCGGAGAGAUUGAGGUCUGCAGCGUAGAUCCUUCGGGGUUAGAUACAUUUGUGCUAAGUUAUAGUUUUUCAUAGACAACAUGUUGACUAUGAUUAAUCAUGUAGCUUACUCGCUUAUGCUAUUUUACCUACGCUUAGGAUGUUGAACGCGCACAGAGUCUC
rnacentral:rRNA from 1 species